rnacentral:rRNA from 1 species
CCAAUAGCGUAUAUUAAAGUUGUUGCAGUUAAAAAGCUCGUAGUUGAAUUUCGGGAUUGACACAUCGGUCGUGCCUUAAGGGGUAUGAACUGGUGUAGUCAAUUUCUCACCUUCUGGAGAACCGCGAUGCCCUUAAUUGGGUGUCACGGGGAACCAGGACCUUUACUUUGAAAAAAUUAGAGUGUUUAAAGCAGGCAUUUUGCUUGAAUACAUUAGAAUGGAAUAAUAAAAUAGGAGGGCAUGAUUCUAUUUUGUUGGUUUCUAGGAUCACCGUAAUGAUUAAUAGGGAUAGUUGGGGGCAUUAGUAUUCAAUUGUCAGAGGUGAAAUUCUUGGAUUUAUUGAAGACUAACUACUGCGAAAGCAUUUGCCAAGGAUGUUUUCAUUAAUCAAGAACGAAAGUUAGGGGAUCGAAGACGAUCAGAUACCGUCGUAGUCUUAACCAUAAACUAUGCCGACUAGGAAUCAGACGAUGUUAAUUUUUUAAUGACUCGUUUGGCACCUUACG